AGAGUUUGAUCCUGGCUCAGGAAGAACGCUGACAGAAUGCUUAACACAUGCAAGUCGACUGGAAUUCUUCUUCGGAAGAUAGUACGGUGGCGGACGGGUGAGUAACGCGUAAAGAAUUUGCCCUUCAGACUGGGACAACUAACCGAAAGGUUAGCUAAUACCGGAUAUUAUGAGACCUUGGCAUCAAGGACUUAUGAAAGCUAUAUGCGCUGGAGGAGAACUUUGCGUCCCAUUAGGUAGUUGGUAGGGUAAUGGCCUACCAAGCCGACGAUGGGUAGCCGGCCUGAGAGGGUGAACGGCCACAAGGGGACUGAGACACGGCCCUUACUCCUACGGGAGGCAGCAGUGGGGAAUAUUGGACAAUGGACCAAAAGUCUGAUCCAGCAAUUCUGUGUGCACGAUGAAGGUCUUCGGAUUGUAAAGUGCUUUCAGGUGGGAAGAAGAAAGUGACGGUACCACCAGAAGAAGCGACGGCUAAAUACGUGCCAGCAGCCGCGGUAAUACGUAUGUCGCAAGCGUUAUCCGGAAUUAUUGGGCGUAAGGCGAGUCUAGGCGGCUUGUUAAGUCAGAUGUGAAAAUGCGGGGCUCAACUCCGUAUUGCGUUUGAAACUGGCAGGCUAGAGUACUGGAGAGGUGGGCGGAACUACAAGUGUAGAGGUGAAAUUCGUAGAUAUUUGUAG
rnacentral:rRNA from 1 species